GAUGAACGCUGGCGGUGUGCCUAAUACAUGCAAGUCGUACGCAUUCUCGUUUCUGAUUGACGGUGCUUGCACCUAAUUGACGAGACAUUGGAAUGAGUGGCGGACGGGUGAGUAACACGUGGGUAACCUGCCCAGAAGCGGGGGAUAACAUUUGGAAACAGAUGCUAAUACCGCAUAAAAGUCAAAACCACAUGGUUUUGAUUGGAAAGAUGGCCUUUGUGCUAUCACUUCUGGAUGGACCCGCGGCGUAUUAGCUAGUUGGUAAGGUAACGGCUUACCAAGGCAAUGAUACGUAGCCGAACUGAGAGGUUGAUCGGCCACAAUGGGACUGAGACACGGCCCAUACUCCUACGGAGGCAGCAGUAGGGAAUCUUCCACAAUGGGCGCAAGCCUGAUGGAGCAACACCGCGUGAGUGAAGAAGGGUUUCGGCUCGUAAAACUCUGUUGUUAAAGAAGAACGUAUCUAAGAGUAACUGCUUAGGUAGUGACGGUAUUUAACCAGAAAGCCACGGCUAACUACGUGCCAGCAGCCGCGGUAA
rnacentral:rRNA from 1 species